rnacentral:rRNA from 1 species
GUAGGGAAUAUUGGGCAAUGGAUGCAAGUCUGACCCAGCCAUCCCGCGUGCCGGAAGAAGGCCCUCAGGGUUGUAAACGGCUUUUGACGGUGAAGAAUCGACAGGAUGCGUCCUGUUUUGACGGUAGCCGUUGAAUAAGCACCGGCUAACUCCGUGCCAGCAGCCGCGGUAAUACGGAGGGUGCGAGCGUUGUCCGGAUUUAUUGGGUUUAAAGGGUGCGUAGGCUGGUAGGUCAGUCAGCGGUGAAAAGCUGUCGCUUAACGAUAGUCUUGCCGCAGAUACUUCCUUUCUUGGAUGAGGAGGAGGCCACUGGAACGGAUGGUGUAGCGGUGAAAUGCAUAGAUAUCAUCCAGAACACCGAUUGCGAAGGCAGGUGGCUGUACCUUAAUCGACGCUGAUGCACGAAAGCAUGGGGAGCAAACAGGAUUAGAUACCCUAGUAGUCC